AAGGGCCAUCGCUCAACGGAUAAAAGCUACCCCGGGGAUAACAGGCUUAUCUCCCCCAAGAGUCCACAUCGACGGGGAGGUUUGGCACCUCGAUGUCGGCUCAUCGCAUCCUGGGGCUGUAGUCGGUCCCAAGGGUUGGGCUGUUCGCCCAUUAAAGCGGUACGCGAGCUGGGUUCAGAACGUCGGGAGACAGUUCGGUCCCUAUCCGUCGCGGGCGCAGGAAAUUUGAGAGGAGCUGUCCUUAGUACGAGAGGACCGGGAUGGACGCACCGCUGGUGUACCAGUUGUCUUGCCAAAGGCAUAGCUGGGUAG
rnacentral:rRNA from 1 species